rnacentral:rRNA from 1 species
GUCUGCAACUCGACUACAUGAAGCUGGAAUCGCUAGUAAUCGCAGAUCAGAAUGCCGCGGUGAAUACGUUCCCGGGUCUUGUACACACCGCCCGUCACACCAUGGGAGUUGGGAAUGCCCGAAGCCGGUGACCUAACCGAGAGGGAGGAGCCGUCGAAGGCAGGUCUGAUGACUGGGGUGAAGUCGUAACAAGGUAGC